GUUGCUUUGGCCGAGUGGUUAAGGCGUGUGCCUGCUAAGUACAUGGGGUUUCCCCGGAACAGUUCGCAUCUGUCAGGCAAUG
rnacentral:tRNA from 1 species